rnacentral:other from 2 species
GUUCCACUGCGGUGUUCGUGAGUGGAUCAAUCAUUUUCUUGAACCACAAAGCGCAAGCUUUGGAAGCUGUUCGCCGGCCUGUGUGCAGGACCGCCCUGGUAGCGGGAAGCCUGAUGGCCGGCCCCUGCUUCCACCUUGAACCAUCAGGUUCAAGAGUGACGAACCGCAACGGCACAAGUGGUGGAACC